ensembl:lncRNA
UUUUAUUAUUGAGCUAACAUACUUGUUCAAACAAUGACUCGCCAGCCCCAGCCAUUGAAUAUGCACUGAAAAAAUAAGCACACCUCCCUGGCCAUUUACCAACAUCCUGCUUUCAAGGAUGUAAUAAUGUGGACGUGUUGUUGAGUUGAGUGUCUUUACCUCUAGGGCAACAUGGCAGGUGUAAUGGGUGUCACUAUAUUUAUAUCAUUUGUUUCGGUAGCCGUCGCUCUUGGGUCCUCUGGAGCCCUAUCAUCAACCUUGACAGUGACUCCAAUGAAGGCAACCACCAGGAAUACCCCAACAUUGUCUGUCACCAUCCCCACAGUGGCCCCUGCCAUGCCAACCAGUAGGACAAGUUCAUCAGUCAGUGAAGCACCUAAUACAGAUCCUACUGGUGACACUAGAGUCCCAAUGGAAUCAUCCCCUUCAUCACCUGCAACUGAGCCUUCCCAAUACUCUCAGCCACUGACUCCAUCACAAUCAUCCAAUGGCAGCACCACCACACAAACCUCUACAGGUUUUACAGCUGACACUACUAUGAAUCAGACCCUAACUGGAAUAGUUGGUCAUGACUCAACAUCCUCAAUCUUCUCAUCAACAUUGUCGCCAAGCUCUGAUUUUACGACAGGGAACAUGAGCUCAAGCACAGCCUUAGAAAGUGAUGGGAGACAUGUCUUAUCAAGGAGUCCGGGCCUCGUAGCAGUCCUCUGCAUAUUCUGCAUCUGUCUGGGUCUUCUGCUGGCUGUUGGAAUUGCAAAGCUCAUUACUCCCAGAGGUUCAACAUUUCAGAGGCUUGAAGAUGUGCCAUUGGGCAAAAUAAAUGAAGAGUCUCCAUUUGCCCGUUACCCUGAAAAACAAUUCUGAAAGAAAACACAUCAUGAGAGAAGGUGGAUGGAUGCAUCAAGGAACUGAAUACAGAAGAUGCACAGACAAUGUCUGCGUUUACACAGGUAGCCCAAUUCUGAUCUUUUGCCAAAUUUUUAGCGAAAGAUCUGAUUUGUAAAAAUACAAAUUAUUGGCACAAUAUCAGAAUUGGUCUGCCUUUAUAAACACAGCUAAUGUGUCAGGUAUCACUAGAAAUAAAGCUAUUAAAAAAGCUAUAAUAAAGCCAAAUUCUCUGUUUCUUGAAAAGACUAUGAGAAACAGGCCUAAUUUUUGUAUGGGUUGAAAUAAAUAAAUGAUUGCAUUUAAUUGUGUUCUCUUUUUCUCCAGAUGAGAUGUGUUAUAUAUUGGAUCAAGAUACACUGAGUAUAAAAACAUUAAGAACACCUGCUCUUUCCAUGACAUAGACUGACCAGGUGAAUCCAGGUGAAAGCUAUUAUUGAUGUCACAUGUCAGUGUAGAUGAAGGGGAGGAGACAAGUUAAAGAAGGAUUUUUUAAGUCUUGAGACAUGGAUUGUGUAUGUGUGAGGGUGAAUGGGGAAGACAAAAGAUUUGAGUCUUUGAAUGGGGUACGGUAGAAGCUGCCAGGCUCACCGGUUUGUGUCAAGAACUGCAAUGUUGCUUAUUUUUUCAUGCUUAAGUUUCGCAUGUGUAUCAAGAAAGGUCCACCACCCAAAGGACACCCAGCCAACUUGACAACUGUGGGAAGCAUUGGAGUAAACAUGGGCCAGCAUCCCUGUGGAACACUUUCAACACCUUGUGGAGUCCAUGCUGUUCUCAGGGCAAAAAGUGUGUUCAUAAUGUUUGGUAUACUCAGUGUAUGUCAAUUCAGCUAGUAAAUUAGUUAUCCGGAUUGUCACAGCGGUCUAAGGCACCUCAUCUCAGUACAAGAGGCGUCAGUAUAGUACCUGGUUCGAAUCCAGGCUGUAUCACAUCUGGCGUGAUUGUGAGUUCCAUAGGGCAGCGCACAAUUGGCCCAGCGUUGUCUGGGUUUGGCCUGAGUAGGCCGUCAUAGUAAAUAAGGAUUUGUUCUUAAACUGACUUGCCUAGUUAAAUAAAGGUAGAAAUAUCAAUCAAAUGUAUUUAUAAAGCCCUUUUUACAUCAGCUGAUGUCACAAAGUGCUCUAUAUAUAUUCUCUUAUGAUUAGUGGUAGGGUUAUAUUAUUUUAAGAUCAUUUUUAGUGAACCUCAUAAACAGUCAGGCAGUAGGCUUAUUUUUAGACUUGUUUACCUGUAAACUAAAGUAGGUCGGAUGCCAGCCGGGAAAAUUGACAAUAAUAGACCACUUUCUCAAUAAACUCCAGGCUUGUCAUUGACAAGACAGUGAAAUUAAAGAGAAAAAAUAAUUAGUUGAACUCGUCACUACGCAACAAAGUUCUCACUUUUCAGCUACUGUACAUCAUUUGCAACAAAGUUCCCCUCCCAGCCUCCCAUCAUUUGGCUGAACAGCGUGUCCCGCUUGGUUGCACGCAAUGACAUAUAAACCCUGCCUUGCUUUCGAUAUAUGUUGGCCAUUAACAGGCUUUGAAGCCGCCAGUCGGCCAUAUUGCCACUCCCCAGUAGGAGCAGUCCUCCAUAGGAAUUAAUGGAAUUCUACAGUAUUUAAAUUAAAUGUUUCAAGGACAAAAUUACAUGUAUUUAAGUAACUAUCUUUUUUGUUGAAUUGGGGACAGUAACAUUAGUAAUGUACAUAAAAUUAUACUUUAAGGAUUUUUUUUAUUUUUUAUGUUUAGCUCACAUAAUAUACUUUAAAAGUAUACAUUAAGUUGUCUGUAAUAUAAUACAUGUGUAAAAAACGAAUGUAGACAGUAAUACGUGCAUUUCUGUAGCUUCAAAAAUAUUUUUUUAUACCGGUGGGGGAGUGCCAAGAUGGAGGCGCAGUGGCCUCAACCCAGAGCCCCAAAAUAGUUAUCUAGUAUAUAUAUAAGUCAUUGGUUGCACGCUUACAUUGUUUACAUCCACAAACAUUUCCUGGCAUGUGACUAAAUCAACGUCAUUCGCAACGAAAGCAGCAUUCACGGAGUUUGAAGUCUAAGUAAAAGCAAUAAAAUGUAUGAUAAAGACAACGACCUUCAAUGAAGAGACCAGAACUAAAUAUUCCUUCAUAACUUGCAAUUGCCGUGGGUUUCCUUCUCUAAAUACUCAAGAAGUCGAGCGACCAAAG